UGAGGAAUAUUGGUCAAUGGCCGGGAGGCUGAACCAGCCAAGUCGCGUGAGGGAAGACGGUCCUAUGGAUUGUAAACCUCUUUUGUCAGGGAGCAAAAACUGCCACGCGUGGCAGGAUGAGAGUACCUGAAGAAAAGCAUCGGCUAACUCCGUGCC
rnacentral:rRNA from 1 species